AAUCAUGGACUGAUGUAAUAAUCCAAUGUGUGCAAUAUGAGCCUGCCAUUGAUGGGUCACAAGGUCUUGAUCAAAACACUAUAGACUUCAAAAUUGGAUAAUGGAUGUCAUUCAACAUACAAAGAUAAGUGGUUGUGAUAAAAAUGGUCAUAUUGAUGUUGGUGAAGUCUUUAUUUUCACGCUUUCAGCCUUUCAGGAGGAAUUGUUGAGCUUGCAAAAGGCUUCACCUGAUGGUGAAUUGGUGAAUCGGUGAUGGAGUAUUGGAGUUG
rnacentral:lncRNA from 1 species